AUUGAACGCUGGCGGCAGGCCUAACACAUGCAAGUCGAACGAGUGGCGGACGGGUGAGUAAUGUCUGGGAAACUGCCUGAUGGAGGGGGAUAACUACUGGAAACGGUAGCUAAUACCGCAUACCAUCGGAUGUGCCCAGAGGGGAUUAGCUAGUAGGUGGGGUAAAGGCUCACCUAGUCGACGAGCCCUAGCUGGUCUGAGAGGAGGACCAGCCACACUGGAACUGAGACACGGGCCAGAUGACUACGGGAGGCAGCAGUGGGGAAUAUUGCACAAUGGGCGCAAGCCGUAUGCAGCCAGGCCGCGGGUAUGAAGAAGGCCUUCGGGUUGUAAAGUACGUUCAGCGGGGAGGCGUUACCCGCAGAAGAAGCACCGGCUAACUCCGUGCCAGCCGCCGCGGUAAUUC
rnacentral:rRNA from 1 species